rnacentral:rRNA from 1 species
GAUCCUACGGGAGGCAGCAGUGGGGAAUAUUGGGCAAUGGGCGCAAGCCUGACCCAGCAACGCCGCGUGAAGGAAGAAGGCUUUCGGGUUGUAAACUUCUUUUCUGAGGGACGAAGAAAGUGACGGUACCUCAGGAAUAAGCCACGGCUAACUACGUGCCAGCAGCCGCGGUAAUACGUAGGUGGCAAGCGUUAUCCGGAUUUAUUGGGUGUAAAGGGCGAGUAGGCGGGAAAGCAAGUCAGAUGUGAAAACUCAGGGCUCA